rnacentral:rRNA from 1 species
CCUACGGGAGGCAGCAGUGAGGAAUAUUGGUCAAUGGGCGCGAGCCUGAACCAGCCAAGUCGCGUGAAGGAUGACUGCCCUACGGGUUGUAAACUUCUUUUAUCAAGGAAUACAGUGAGGCACGUGUGCCUUUUUGUAUGUACUUUAUCAAUAAGGAUCGGCUAACUCCGUGCCAGCAGCCGCGGUAAUACGGAGGGUCCGAGCGUUAUCCGGAUUUAUUGGGUUUAAAGGGAGCGUAGAUGGGUUGUUAAGUCAGUUGUGAAAGUUUGCGGCGCAACCGUAAAAUUGCAAUUGAUACUGGCAGCCUUGAGUACAGUUGAGGGAGGCGGAAUUCGUGGUGUAGCGGUGAAAUGCUGAGAGAUCACGAAGAACUCCGAUUGCGAAGGCAGCUUACUAAACUGCCACUGACAUUGAUGCUCGAAAGUGUGGGUAUCAAACAGGAUUAGAUACCCCGGUAGUC